rnacentral:misc_RNA from 1 species
AAGUUUCUUCUUCUUAAAAUCCAGGUACUCCUUGAAGCACAAUUUUCUAUUAGAAACCUAGUUUCUUCUAGAUUCAGUUAUGUAAUCGUCAUUUAUGAUUGUUGUCAAGUUCUGUUACUUGUAGAGUUGGCUAGGAUGCCCUUUGGAACCUGCAUGGAUUUUUUUUCUUACUCUAUUACUACAAAGCUCAGUAUAGACUACAGUAGUCAUAUGUCCUGCAUUAGCAUGUAGUUUCCUUGAUAAUUUUUCUAUCUUAGAUGAAAUUGAAUGUUCAAACUGGCAAUGAACUUCGGAAAUCUGAGAGAUGUUUUGGUGGAUUCAAUACAAACAUGUGAAAAUUUCUUAUAGUGUUAAAAGAUUUUGCCUUGCUAAUUGCAUUAAUUUGGAAAUAAAUUUGGGGUUACAAGAAAACUACAUUUGUUGGAUUGUUGGCCAGCAAACUAUAGAUAUUGUCAUUUCUGGAUGGAUAUGUGUCUCGGUAUUUCUGGGUGAACUUUUUUUUUUUU